rnacentral:lncRNA from 1 species
CAGAAUAAGACAAUGGGUAUGGACAGCAACUGUUGCUUGGUGGGGCAAGUGGGAGCAGUCCUCUCAUGCAGCAGAUGAAAGCUUGAGUGGGAUUGACCAAUGGGUCUGAAUAGGUGUAAGGCAGCUUCUGGUGCCUUUAGCACAGCAACAUCAUUGCAGCGUCUUGGACAAACACUGGGUGGGAUAUCUGCAUGCACCAAACAGCCACUGCCAUCAUUAACUCUGAGUAUAUCUUCCCCUUCCAGUUCCUUUCACGUGUGGUGUUCAAAGAAAUACGAGGGUGGUGCGGCUCCUGCGGAAGAAAACGAGGGUCAGACAUCACUCUUGAGUAGGCAUGUUCUGGGGCCAUAAGUCAUGGUAAGUCUACUUCUCAAGCCCCUGGUGUUACUUAGUAGGUCAUCUCCUGCUUUCUGCUCUCGUUGGGACCUCAUGGUCAAAGGUUUCAUCACUCCUUCCUUGGCCUUCUGCCACCUCUGUUAGAAUAAGCGAGGCUGUUGUACUCUGGUGGUGGAACUGGUGUUCAUGGGAACUUAGAAGGAGCCAAGAGAGCCCUAAGCAAUCCACUGAGUUUCCACGGGUUUUCACACUUCUUUCUUGUGAGUCUGCAUUUCUGUGGUCACCUCUGAAGAUCCUCUAUUCCCAACUUCUUGACUGAUUUUU